rnacentral:rRNA from 1 species
GAUGAACGCUGGCGGCGUGCCUAAUACAUGCAAGUCGAGCGAACAGACGAGGAGCUUGCUCCUCUGACGUUAGCGGCGGACGGGUGAGUAACACGUGGAUAACCUACCUAUAAGACUGGGAUAACUUCGGGAAACCGGAGCUAAUACCGGAUAAUAUAUUGAACCGCAUGGUUCAAUAGUGAAAGACGGUUUUGCUGUCACUUAUAGAUGGAUCCGCGCCGCAUUAGCUAGUUGGUAAGGUAACGGCUUACCAAGGCAACGAUGCGUAGCCGACCUGAGAGGGUGAUCGGCCACACUGGAACUGGGACACGGUCCAGACUCCUACGGGAGGCAGCAGUAGGGAAUCUUCCGCAAUGGGCGAAAGCUUGACGGAGCAACGCCGCGUGAGUGAUGAAGGUCUUCGGAUCGUAAAACUCUGUUAUUAGGGAAGAACAAAUGUGUAAGUAACUAUGCACGUCUUGACGGUACCUAAUCAGAAAGCCACGGCUAACUACAUG